rnacentral:rRNA from 1 species
AGAGUUUGAUCCUGGCUCAGGAUGAACGCUGGCGGCGUGCCUAACACAUGCAAGUCGAGCGAUUCUCUUCGGAGAAGAGCGGCGGACGGGUGAGUAACGCGUGGGUAACCUGCCCUGUACACACGGAUAACAUACCGAAAGGUAUGCUAAUACGAGAUAAUAUGCUUUUAUCGCAUGGUAGAAGUAUCAAAGCUUUUGCGGUACAGGAUGGACCCGCGUCUGAUUAGCUAGUUGGUAAGGUAACGGCUUACCAAGGCGACGAUCAGUAGCCGACCUGAGAGGGUGAUCGGCCACAUUGGAACUGAGACACGGUCCAAACUCCUACGGGAGGCAGCAGUGGGGAAUAUUGCACAAUGGGCGAAAGCCUGAUGCAGCAACGCCGCGUGAGCGAUGAAGGCCUUCGGGUCGUAAAGCUCUGUCCUCAAGGAAGAUAAUGACGGUACUUGAGGAGGAAGCCCCGGCUAACUACGUG